GCCUAACACAUGCAAGUCGAGCGUGAUGCUCUGGAUUGAAGCUUCGGCUGAUUGAAAGAGUUGAAAGCGGCGGACGGGUGAGUAACGCGUAGGCAACCUGCCCCUUACAGAGGGAUAGCCACUGGAAACGGUGAUUAAUACCUCAUAAUGCGAGAGAACCUCCUGGCUCUUUCACCAAAGAUUUAUCGGUAAGGGAUGGGCCUGCGUCUGAUUAGCUAGUUGGUGAGGUAACGGCCCACCAAGGCAACGAUCAGUAGCCGACCUGAGAGGGUAAUCGGCCACAUUGGGACUGAGAUACGGCCCAGACUCCUACGGGAGGCAGCAGUGGGGAAUAUUGGGCAAUGGGGGAAACCCUGACCCAGCAACGCCGCGUGAAGGAAGAAGGCCUUCGGGUUGUAAACUUCUUUUAGCAGGGACGAAGGACGUGACGGUACCUGUAGAAAAAGCAACGGCUAACUACGUGCCAGCAGCCGCGGUAACAC
rnacentral:rRNA from 1 species